rnacentral:misc_RNA from 1 species
AAGUCGUAACAAGGUUUCCGUAGGUGAACCUGCGGAAGGAUCAUUAUUGGAAUGAACUUGGUGGGUUGUUGCUGGCCUCUAGGGGCAUGUGCACACCUGCCUCUGUUUCUUCUUUCACCUCCCUGUGCACGUUUUGUAGACUUGGAUAUAUAUAUUAUAUAUAUAUAUUUUCGAGGCAACUCGGUGAGGGAGCUGUUGUCGUGUUGCAAGCUGCUCCUAUAUUUCCGGUCUAUGUGUUCUUUCAUAUGCGCACCUGUAGAAUGCAUUAACCUGGGCCUUUACGAGGCCCAUAGAUCUAUACAACUUUCAACAACGGAUCUCUUGGCUCUC